AACAUUCAUUGCUGUCGGUGGGUUUCUGGUUGAAAUGACUCAUUGACGAAUGAAUGCAGA
ensembl:miRNA gmo-mir-181b-2 gmo-mir-181b-2